GGUGGCAUGGGGUAGCCACGCCGGCGCGGCCCAGCGUAUUUGUUGCCGGUGGGGUCGCCAGCGACGCCCAGUUCCCACUCGGCGCGGUCGUAGUCCGGCUCCAGGUCCUCAUAGGAUAUCGGCCAGUCGGCCAGCGAGCUCUUUUCAGGUAUAGCGUAAAUGCUAGCCAUGCGGAAGUCUUCCGGGCAGAAGCGCCAGCUCUGGGCGCCAUAGACCCUGCUACCGCCCCCAACGGUCAUCGCGUUAUUGUGCCAGU
rnacentral:misc_RNA from 1 species